rnacentral:rRNA from 1 species
AUGAACGCUGGCGGCGUACCUAAUCCAUGCAAGUCGAGCGAACAGAUGAGGAGCUUGCUCCUCUGACGUUAGCGGCGGACGGGUGAGUAACACGUGGAUAACCUACCUAUAAGACUGGGAUAACUUCGGGAAACCGGAGCUAAUACCGGAUAAUAUAUUGAACCGCAUGGUUCAAUAGUGAAAGACGGUUUUGCUGUCACUUAUAGAUGGAUCCGCGCCGCAUUAGCUAGUUGGUAAGGUAACGGCUUACCAAGGCAACGAUGCGUAGCCGACCUGAGAGGGUGAUCGGCCACACUGGAACGGAGACACGGUCCAGACUCCUACGGGAGGCAGCAGUAGGGAAUCUUCCGCAAUGGGCGAAAGCCUGACGGAGCAACGCCGCGUGAGUGAUGAAGGUCUUCGGAUCGUAAAACUCUGUUAUUAGGGAAGAACAAAUGUGUAAGUAACUAUGCACGUCUUGACGGUACCUAAUCAGAAAGCCACGGCUAACUACGUG